CUGGCGGCGUGCCUAAUACAUGCAAGUCGAGCGAGCGGAACUAACAGAUUUACUUCGGUAAUGACGUUAGGAAAGCGAGCGGCGGAUGGGUGAGUAACACGUGGGGAACCUGCCCCAUAGUCUGGGAUACCACUUGGAAACAGGUGCUAAUACCGGAUAAGAAAGCAGAUCGCAUGAUCAGCUUUUAAAAGGCGGCGUAAGCUGUCGCUAUGGGAUGGCCCCGCGGUGCAUUAGCUAGUUGGUAAGGUAAAGGCUUACCAAGGCGAUGAUGCAUAGCCGAGUUGAGAGACUGAUCGGCCACAUUGGGACUGAGACACGGGCCAAACUCCUACGGGAGGCAGCAGUAGGGAAUCUUCCACAAUGGACGCAAGUCUGAUGGAGCAACGCCGCGUGAGUGAAGAAGGUUUUCGGAUCGUAAAGCUCUGUUGUUGGUGAAGAAGGAUAGAGGUAGUAACUGGCCUUUAUUUGACGGUAAUCAACCAGAAAGUCACGGCUAACUACGUGCCAGCAGCCGCGGUAAUACGUAGGUGGCAAGCGUUGUCCGGAUUUAUUGGGCGUAAAGCGAGCGCAGGCGGAAGAAUAAGUCUGAUGUGAAAGCCCUCGGCUUAACCGAGGAACUGCAUCGGAAACUGUUUUUCUUGAGUGCAGAAGAGGAGAGUGGAACUCCAUGUGUAGCGGUGGAAUGCGUAGAUAUAUGGAAGAACACCAGUGGCGAAGGCGGCUCUCUGGUCUGCAACUGACGCUGAGGCUCGAAAGCAUGGGUAGCGAACAGGAUUAGAUACCCUGGUAGUCCAUGCCGUAAACGAUGAGUGCUAAGUGUUGGGAGGUUUCCGCCUCUCAGUGCUGCAGCUAACGCAUUAAGCACUCCGCCUGGGGAGUACGACCGCAAGGUUGAAACUCAAAGGAAUUGACGGGGGCCCGCACAAGCGGUGGAGCAUGUGGUUUAAUUCGAAGCAACGCGAAGAACCUUACCAAGUCUUGACAUCUAGUGCCAUUUGUAGAGAUACAAAGUUCCCUUCGGGGACGCUAAGACAGGUGGUGCAUGGCUGUCGUCAGCUCGUGUCGUGAGAUGUUGGGUUAAGUCCCGCAACGAGCGCAACCCUUGUUAUUAGUUGCCAGCAUUAAGUUGGGCACUCUAAUGAGACUGCCGGUGACAAACCGGAGGAAGGUGGGGAUGACGUCAAGUCAUCAUGCCCCUUAUGACCUGGGCUACACACGUGCUACAAUGGGCAGUACAACGAGAAGCGAGCCUGCGAAGGCAAGCGAAUCUCUGAAAGCUGUUCUCAGUUCGGACUGCAGUCUGCAACUCGACUGCACGAAGCUGGAAUCGCUAGUAAUCGCGGAUCAGCACGCCGCGGUGAAUACGUUCCCGGGCCUUGUACACACCGCCCGUCACACCAUGGGAGUCUGCAAUGCCCAAAGCCGGUGGCCUAACUUUCGGGAAGGAGCUGUCUAAGGCAGGGCAGAUGACUGGGGUGAAGUCGUAACAAGG
rnacentral:rRNA from 1 species